GAUGAACGCUGGCGGCGUGCCUAAUACAUGCAAGUCGAGCGAAUGGAUUAAGAGCUUGCUCUUAUGAAGUUAGCGGCGGACGGGUGAGUAACACGUGGGUAACCUGCCCAUAAGACUGGGAUAACUCCGGGAAACCGGGGCUAAUACCGGAUAACAUUUUGAACCGCAUGGUUCGAAAUUGAAAGGCUGCUUCGGCUGUCACUUAUGGAUGGACCCGCGUCGCAUUAGCUAGUUGGUGAGGUAACGGCUCACCAAGGCAACGAUGCGUAGCCGACCUGAGAGGGUGAUCGGCCACACUGGGACUGAGACACGGCCCAGACUCCUACGGGAGGCAGCAGUAGGGAAUCUUCCGCAAUGGACGAAAGUCUGACGGAGCAACGCCGCGUGAGUGAUGAAGGCUUUCGGGUCGUAAAACUCUGUUGUUAGGGAAGAACAAGUGCUAGCUGAAUAAGCUGGCACCUUGACGGUACCUAACCAGAAAGCCACGGCUAACUACGUGCCAGCAGCCGCCGUAA
rnacentral:rRNA from 1 species